rnacentral:rRNA from 1 species
AACGCUAGCUACAGGCUUAACACAUGCAAGUCGCGGGGCAGCAUGAAUUUAGCUUGCUAAAUUUGAUGGCGACCGGCGCACGGGUGAGUAACGCGUAUCCAACCUUCCCUUAUCCACGGGAUAGCCCGUCGAAAGGCGGAUUAAUACCGUAUGAGGUCAUUUGAUGGCAUCUGAUUAUGACGAAAGGUUUGGCGGAUAAGGAUGGGGAUGCGUCCGAUUAGCUUGUUGGUGGGGUAACGGCCCACCAAGGCGACGAUCGGUAGGGGUUCUGAGAGGAAGGUCCCCCACAUUGGAACUGAGACACGGUCCAAACUCCUACGGGAGGCAGCAGUGAGGAAUAUUGGUCAAUGGGCGAGAGCCUGAACCAGCCAAGUAGCGUGCAGGACGACGGCCCUAUGGGUUGUAAACUGCUUUUAUGCGGGGAUAAAGUGGGGGAUGCAUCCCUUUUUGCAGGUACCGCAUGAAUAAGGACCGGCUAAUUCCGUGCCAGCAGCCGCGGUAAUACGGAAGGUCCGGGCGUUAUCCGGAUUUAUUGGGUUUAAAGGGAGCGUAGGCUGGAGAUUAAGCGUGUUGUGAAAUGCCGCGGCUCAACCGUGGCACUGCAGCGCGAACUGGUUUCCUUGAGUGCGCUGAAAGUGGGCGGAAUUUGUGGUGUAGCGGUGAAAUGCUUAGAUAUCACGAAGAACUCCGAUUG